rnacentral:rRNA from 1 species
UACGGGGGGGGGCAAGCGUUGUUCGGAAUUACUGGGCGUAAAGGGCGCGUAGGCGGCCUGCUAAGUCGGACGUGAAAUCCCUCGGCUCAACCGAGGAACUGCGUCCGAUACUGGUGGGCUUGAAUCCGGGAGAGGGAUGUGGAAUUCCAGGUGUAGCGGUGAAAUGCGUAGAUAUCUGGAGGAACACCGGUGGCGAAGGCGGCAUCCUGGACCGGUAUUGACGCUGAGGCGCGAAAGCUAGGGGAGCAAACGGG